UGGGGAAUAUUGCACAAUGGGCGCAAGCCUGAUGCAGCCAUGCCGCGUGUAUGAAGAAGGCCUUCGGGUUGUAAAGUACUUUCAGCGGGGAGGAAGGCGUUGUGGUUAAUAACCACAGCGAUUGACGUUACCCGCAGAAGAAGCACCGGCUAACUCCGUGCCAGCAGCCGCGGUAAUACGGAGGGUGCAAGCGUUAAUCGGAAUUACUGGGCGUAAAGCGCACGCAGGCGGUCUGUCAAGUCGGAUGUGAAAUCCCCGGGCUCAACCUGGGAACUGCAUUCGAAACUGGCAGGCUAGAGUCUUGUAGAGGGGGGUAGAAUUCCAGGUGUAGCGGUGAAAUGCGUAGAGAUCUGGAGGAAUACCGGUGGCGAAGGCGGCCCCCUGGACAAAGACUGACGCUCAGGUGCGAAAGCGUGGGGAGCAAACAG
rnacentral:rRNA from 1 species